rnacentral:lncRNA from 1 species
GGAACUUACGAGGAAAGUUUUUCCAGUCUCUCCGCAGACCCUUGCAUCUCUUCUCUUUUUGUUUAGACCCUUGACCACCACCCCCUAUUCUAAUCUUAACUCCUCUGCUACUCAGUUCCAAUCCUAACCCAAGCCCUAGUCCCUAAAUUUAUAAUCCUUUAAUCCUAGACCUGGUCUCUAGAUCCUGAGCCCUUGAUGCUUAUCUUCUAACCUCCUAAUCCCAACCUCAAAUCCCUAAACCUCAACCCAUGAAUUCUGACCUGAUUCUCAAACCCCAGGCCCCCAACCCUGACUCCAAAAAUGACAACCCAUUACUUCUCCCUACACGGAAUCACUGACGGAGUUGUAGCAACUGAAUCUGCAGUAGGCCAAAGGACCCAGUGAGUUAGCCAGCAAACUACUCUAAAUAAAAGAUAUGGUGGAUAACAGCAAGCCUAAACAAAUCUUCCUCAAAGAUGAGCAACACAAGUCCCAGUCAUUAUGACAAUACCUCUGUAUCUCAACAAAGGGGCUUAAAUCAGCAAGUCAUCCCAGCCCCUGAAGGAAGAGAACAGUCCUUGUAAGUUGCAAAGCUCUCAGAGGACAUGGGUGGCUCAGUAAAGCCCCUGUUCUAGGACACAGCAAAAGAAGCAACACAAUAACCACCAUGGCCCAGCAGAUGAGGGCCACAGCCAGCAUCGCCACCCCUGAGUCUGCCUUCCCAGUAUGAUCAUCAGGACUUCAGAAGUCCCAGCAAACCAGUUAAACAGAAGACAAGAACCUUAUGUGAAACCAAAUUCCAGACA